rnacentral:lncRNA from 1 species
GUCCGUCGCGGGAGCUGAGCCCACGAGGCCCUGGAGCGCGGUGGCUGGGCCCGUAGCGCCACCUGGCGGCGGAUCAGGACCCCGCGCCCUUGCGUCCCUGGAAGUGGGAGAAGGGGCAGGGGGCUCCACCCUGCACCACCACCCCAGCGCGCUCCCGAGGCCGUUCCCCAAGGAUGCGCGGGCCCCAGGGAGAGCGACGCUGCCCGCGCGGCGCUUUCCUGGCCGCCUGGAGUCCGGGAACGGCGAAUCCCGCUCGCAGCGGACCGAGGCGAGGCGCAGCGGGACGGGAUCGGUGGGAACGGAAACAGCGGUCACCCGGAAGCCCAGAACCAGCGAGUACGCGGUGCAGUGUUCGCUUCCCAAACGUUGUGGGACAAACGCCUUUCAACUGUUUCUGGACGCCCGUGGGCCGGCGUUACCCUGUUGAGAACCAGAGCUGAUGACCAUGAUGAAGGUCUCUGUACCUACCCUAAGCCAAGCUCCAGUUUGAAUAAUUUCCAGCCUCAAAGUGGGUUCAAUCAAUCAACAGGCAGAUUCAUGAGACUUCACACUUGAAUUCAGCGCCUCCUGGCUCUACAUGCCACCAGUGCUCCUGACUCACAGGCUGGGCCUCCUCCCAUAGGAAUGGCCUAUGGGACAGAGACAAGGACACAUUAAUGAAUGCCCACUGAGUGCAGAUUUGUGCUUGCACUGACUACAGAAAGAGGGUGGGCAUGGAUGUGUGCACUCCAAGUUCUGGGCCCCAGAGGAAGUUAUAUGACAGACUUGUGCCUGGUCAGCAAUGGUGAGUAGCUGAAAGUGCUAUGUACCAGUGCUGAGGGCACAUGCAGUGGUAUUAAGACUCCCAAAUGUGGGAAAGAUGAGUGUUUGAGCCUGGCUUUCAAGAAUGGGCAAGAUGGGGAUUGACUGAGAGAGGAGAGGAGCCCGUCCCUGGUAGGGAAGCCUGGGACGGCCUUCUCAAACAAGGGUUCAUCUAGGAGAGACAAUGAAGACAGGGUUACUGGGGCAGCCGUGUGCAGCUUAACCUUAACACCAGCUCUAGACGCUAGCUGUGGACUCUCUGCAGGCUGCCGAGUAGGGCAGGGCACUGGGGAAAGGCAGACAGGAAGACAGACAGGAAGUUUUGCCCUUCCUGAGCAAAACUCUUUGGAAACAGUCAUGCCCUGCUCUCUGAUGUCUGCCUUUUGGGGACAGGGGCCUGCUGAUAGCAUGUGGCUCUUCUGCCUGUUGGUCUGGGCAAGGGUGACUCUCUCAUCUCAGGAGCCUGAGGGUCAGUGGGUUCCCCUUUGUGCCAUUCUGGUGUGUGUGGGGGUGGUUCUGAAUGGGAGCUGGCUGGGCCAGCUUGUGUGUGUCACUGGGGUCUGUUGGCCACAGAGCAAACCAGAGCAGGUCAGGUCAAUCCCCGCCCAUUGAGUGCUCAAUGACUGAGCCCGUGGGACACCAAAGAGUCACCCAACCUGGUGAAGUAUGGAGUUGGGCAGAACUGACCCCACUACAGUGUCGUUGCUGCAGCGAGGGUCUGCAUGCUUGACAGAGGAGGGUGCGGGGGCGGGGGGUGCAUCUCAGGGUCCCUGCCUUGCCCUGAAGACAGGGACAGGGCUACAGGGCCACCCUCUCAUGGGUUUGUUAAAGUAGCUCUUGACUCUUGGAGAAGAAAUGGCUGACAUGAACAGCCCUGAGAUAAAGUGAGUGGGUUUUCCCAGUGUUUCUGAUGGUCUUCUUCAAAGAAGCUCAGGGUGGUUGACUUCUGAAGAACGCGUGCAUCUAGCCAUGGGGCCUGGCUAGGUCACCAAGGGCCUGUGUGCCAGGAAGAGCAUCCGGCAGAGGGGCUGAGUAUCAGCUACUUCCAGGAGCCAGCACAGAAUGUCAAUGACCAGGAGAUGCUUGUCCCCUUAUCCUCCUGGGUAGUCAGAGGAGUCCCUUGCAGGGCAAGGAAGGGAAUAGUGGCUGCUCAGGGCAAGUGGGGAGAGGUUGGGAGCCUGAGGGCAUACUGGCCUCCUGGCCAAUCUUUAGGGUUACUGGGAGGUCUACAGCUCCAGGGGUCCAGGUAGCCCAUGGGGAAGGGGAGGACAGAAGAAAAUGAGAAAUUCAUGGGGACCAUUAUCAGGUUAGGAGGCUCAGAAAAAACAAACACGGUCAGAGUUUACCCAGUAAAAACUGGCUUGAAAAAGAGAUCAUGUUAGACUGACCUUCAAGUCUGCACAAGGUAGAAGGCUUGCAACACUACCCUAGAAGAAGUCAAAGUAAGAAGGAGCAGCUUGUUCCAUCAGGAUCCAUGUCAAGAGCACACCCACUUCAGGCUGAAUUAAGUUCCUAAUGUAUUGUAAGACCUGCACGUGUUGGGGGAGAGGUUCAAGUCAAUAUACUCAGCCUAAUGUAUUGACCAUGAUCCUUGAAACUGUAACGUACUUGAAAACAAGCAAGGCAGCCAUUGACUGCAGGAGCAGAAAUAACCCGGUAAAGAGAAGUCCUGCUUAUGUGGUAGUCUUCAAGUGAGUCAAGCGAUUUGGUCUUGUGAACAGAUUCAUUUUCCAAAGUAUUCUGAAUUUUCUGAAUUCACUCAAGUUUCCCUUUUAGGUAGCAUGGUAACCAGUGGCUGUAUCCUAGAUGCCCAGAGGCCAUCCAUCUGUCCUGAAGGAUUUUGGAACACAGGUAGUAUUGUCUUUUCCAAUUCAGGCAGUUAGGAGAGCAGCACCCAUUUCUCGUUGAUCAUUUCUGAACUGCGAGACAAAAAACUUUAAUCUUGGGGCUAGAAUUUAAUUUGUUUUCAAGAAUACCAAAUAUUACCAAGCAAGGCCAGCACGGGUAUAAUAGUGGCGUGAGGUUUGUGCGCACGCAGCUGAAAUGGUAAAUGUAAAAUAGGAGACACUGUGCACGUACAGCCUGUGCACACAGUAUCAAGACACUCUUUGCACCUGGAGUUUUCUCUGCUUCGCCAAACUUCAUGCCCUUUUUGGAAAAAGGGGGAGUGAAUUUUCCAAGUUGUGAGGAUACCUUUCCUCCAUCCAGUCACACUCUCUUCCGGGCCAGUCUUUGGUGAAACCUGGGCGAUGUGGAGUCACUGGAGGAUGUGAGUGUGCGCGUUUUUGCUCAUCUCAACCCAGGUCUCUGGGAGAGCCUUUAGGAGCUCUGGCAUUUAGAGGAGGCUCCGUCCUGGGCCAGGAGCUGGGGCUCUCCGGACAAACGCUAAACAGCUCUCACUUAUCGGUGUCCAAUAGUCCUUAUAUAAAGUACCAAAGUGCCCCAACAAGGCUCGGUUCCUGGAUCCGCGGAGCUCUAGAUGUACCUGCAGCUCCUCCUGAGUCCUGCAAGCCACCCUUGUCCCUCUUCUCCCGCUCACCCCCAUCUCUUUUGCUAUUCCGGGGAAGGCCACGCAGGGUGCACCUCGGACGCGUCCCCGGGGAAGCCCGCGACCCAGCAGCCACACCCCAGCCUGCGCCGGCGACCGCUCCCUGACUUCGCCUUCGUGGUCGCGGGCAGGGAGCGCGCGUUUCCAUCGGUUAAUUAGAAGCGGG